rnacentral:rRNA from 1 species
AAAUUGAAGAGUUUGAUCAUGGCUCAGAUUGAACGCUGGCGGCAGGCCUAACACAUGCAAGUCGAACGGUAGCACAGAGAGCUUGCUCUCGGGUGACGAGUGGCGGACGGGUGAGUAAUGUCUGGGAAACUGCCCGAUGGAGGGGGAUAACUACUGGAAACGGUAGCUAAUACCGCAUAACGUCGCAAGACCAAAGUGGGGGACCUUCGGGCCUCACACCAUCGGAUGUGCCCAGAUGGGAUUAGCUAGUAGGUGGGGUAACGGCUCACCUAGGCGACGAUCCCUAGCUGGUCUGAGAGGAUGACCAGCCACACUGGAACUGAGACACGGUCCAGACUCCUACGGGAGGCAGCAGUGGGGAAUAUUGCACAAUGGGCGCAAGCCUGAUGCAGCCAUGCCGCGUGUAUGAAGAAGGCCUUCGGGUUGUAAAGUACUUUCAGCGAGGAGGAAGGCGUUGUGGUUAAUAACCACAGCGAUUGACGUUACUCGCAGAAGAAGCACCGGCUAACUCCGUGCCAGCAGCCGCGGUAAUACGGAGGGUGCAAGCGUUAAUCGGAAUUACUGGGCGUAAAGCGCACGCAGGCGGUUUGUUAAGUCAGAUGUGAAAUCCCCGGGCUCAACCUGGGAACUGCAUUUGAAACUGGCAAGCUUGAGUCUCGUAGAGGGGGGUAGAAUUCCAGGUGUAGCGGUGAAAUGCGUAGAGAUCUGGAGGAAUACCGGUGGCGAAGGCGGCCCCCUGGACAAAGAGUGACGCUCAGGUGCGAAAGCGUGGGGAGCAAACAGGAUUAGAUACCCUGGUAGUCCACGCCGUAAACGAUGUCUACUUGGAGGUUGUGCCCUUGAGGCGUGGCUUCCGGAGCUAACGCGUUAAGUAGACCGCCUGGGGAGUACGGCCGCAAGGUUAAAACUCAAAUGAAUUGACGGGGGCCCGCACAAGCGGUGGAGCAUGUGGUUUAAUUCGAUGCAACGCGAAGAACCUUACCUGGUCUUGACAUCCACGGAAGUUUUCAGAGAUGAGAAUGUGCCUUCGGGAAC